GGGGCCUUAGCUCAGCUGGAGAGCGCAACACUGGCAGUGUUGAGGUCAGCGGUUCGAUCCCGCUGGCCCUCGCCA
rnacentral:tRNA from 1 species